rnacentral:rRNA from 1 species
UACGUAGGGUGCAAGCGUUAAUCGGAAUUACUGGGCGUAAAGCGUGCGCAGGCGGUUUUGUAAGUCAGAUGUGAAAUCCCCGGGCUUAACCUGGGAACUGCGUUUGAAACUACAAGGCUAGAGUGUGACAGAGGGGGGUGGAAUUCCACGUGUAGCAGUGAAAUGCGUAGAGAUGUGGAGGAACACCGAUGGCGAAGGCAGCCCCCUGGGCUAACACUGACGCUCAUGCACGAAAGCGUGGGGAGCAAACAGG